CGGGACGGGUGAGUAAUGUCUGGGAAACUGCCUGAUGGAGGGGGAUAACUACUGGAAACGGUAGCUAAUACCGCAUAACGUCGCAAGACCAAAGAGGGGGACCUUCGGGCCUCUUGCCAUCGGAUGUGCCCAGAUGGGAUUAGCUAGUAGGUGGGGUAACGGCUCACCAGGCGACGAUCCCUAGCUGGUCUGAGAGGAUGACCAGCCACACUGGAACUGAGACACGGUCCAG
rnacentral:rRNA from 1 species